rnacentral:rRNA from 1 species
CGCAAUGGGCGAAAGCCUGACGGAGCAAUACCGCGUGAGGGAGGACGGCUCUUGGGUUGUAAACCUCUUUUAUUAGGGAAGAAGUUCUGACGGUACCUAAUGAAUCAGCAUCGGCUAACUCCGUGCCAGCAGCCGCGGUAAUACGGAGGAUGCAAGCGUUAUCCGGAAUUAUUGGGCGUAAAGCGUCCGUAGGUGGCGAUUCAAGUCUGUUGUCAAAGCGUGCAGCUUAACUGCAUACGGGCAAUGGAAACUGAGUGGCUAGAGUGCGAUAGGGGUGACGGGAAUUCCCGGUGUAGCGGUGAAAUGCGUAGAUAUCGGGAAGAACACCAGCGGCGAAAGCGCGUCACUGGGUCUGC